CCAUUCCUUCCUCUCAUGGUGAUCUGAGCAAGAAGGGGGAGGGAGGGGAAUCCAUCAUACCCCAAAGAGAAUGAGAAUGUAGGAGAGAGCCGGAGCGAUGAUGAGUCGGACAUCGAAGGAAUCUCUUCCCGGCGGGAGGCAUGCGGCCUCCAGAUCGCAGCAUCUCCGGCGGGAGGGAGGGUCGAGGGACGGGGACGAGAGCUUGGAUCUCUUCGCCAGGAUCCGCCGGAACCCGUUGAUCAGUUCCACUACCGAAUCCGGCAGCCAGAAUGCAAGUUACGGUGGUGGUGCUGAUCAGCUGCAGGACAAUUUAAAUUGGAGAGGACAUCGAUCGGAUCGGCAAAGUUGGGGAGGAAUGGAGCAGAUGAUCUCUUUUCAGCGGACAUUGGCAAAAGUGAUUAUGAUUGGCUUCUGACUCCCCCUGGCACCCCUCUCUUCUCUUCUUUAGAUGCCAGCGAACACCAACCGUUCUCAACAGGUCCAAGGAGCAAUUCCAAUGGCGGAUCAGUCUCAACUACAAAAGCUUCGAGGUUAUCUGCAUCUCAACCAGAGAAUGGCCAAUCUACUAGACUAAACAAAAGUGGUUCAGCUACUCGCCCUUCUCUCUCUAGUACAAACUUCUCCAGCUAUUUCUCCAACAACAAUAGAACAUCAGUCCUCAACACUAGCACAGCCUCAGUCACCUCUAGACCCACAACCCCUGGCAAACGCCCAACCGCUACAUCCACCACAAGGACAAACUCGAUCCCAGCCUCCCGUGCAGUGCCAUCACGUCCAUCCACCCCUUCCAAAACUCGAACAUCUUCCAAUUCUUCUGGAGACAAACCCAGACAAUCGCAAAAUUCUAGACCCUCUACUCCAACUUCCCGAACUCAUGUUCUUUCUACUCAUUCAAAUUCUAGUUCAGGCACUUCAGCAGCACGUUCGAAUUCCAGGCCAUCAACCCCAACUCGUCGCAAUCCUACACCAGUCCCAGCUCCAACCACCUCAAACUCCAGAUCAUCGACCCCCAAUCGCCGAACCCCAAUACCAGCACCAGCUCAAACUAUGGCUCGCUCUCUCUCAGUGGGUCAUAAUCCAAUAACAAAUAGCAGAAACCCUGCUUCCAGAUCACGUCCUAGCUCACCAGCUCCGCAAGCCCGAGUUUCAGCACAGCUUCCUGCCCCCAAGAUUUCCCCCAGGAAGUUCCACCAAACCUUGGAACAAAACUGUCUGAAAGACCUAUUUCUGCCAGUAAGCAACGCCCAGGAGUACCAUUAACAGCCCAGUCAAAUCCAAAUUCUGAGGCAGCAGCAGCUCCGGUCAGCUGUAAUCGGCGGCAGUCCUCACCCAUUGUCACUCGAGGCAGGAUCUCAGACAAUUCACCAAAGGGCCGAUCACACAGCAAUGGGCACAUUGUCAGCCAACCUGGAAUCCAGAAGGAUGCUGUAUCAGAGACUGCAGUCAGGAGAUCCAGCAAGCCAGAUUCAUCCACAGAAAGCCCCGGAUUCGGAAGGAUUAUCUCCAAGAAGUCAUUUCACAUGGCCCUCAGGCAUAUGGACAUCCGGCAAGGCAUUCGCGGGGCCUCUCUCUUCCCUCAGAGCAUUCGUCCGACCACUUCAAAAGGCCGGCCUGGUCCAGUGUCAGACCCGGUAGUUCCCACUGUUGACAAAGCAGCAUCUCUUGGUGAUGGAAGAAGGUUGGAGUCGACCAGUGGAGAGAACGGAAAUCAUAAUGGAAUGAUCUCUGGUCACAGCAAUUUAGCCAUCUCAGAGGAUGGAGGUGGGGUGGUUAGUUCUGCAGAGAGGGAGUCUAUUGGUGGUUAGUUCUGCAGAGAGGGAGUCUAUUGUUGCAGGAGUGAACGAGCUGGAUAUCCAUGAGAGCUCCCAAUAUGAUGCAAUGCUGCACAAAGAUGACUCCAAGGACUUGACUUCGCCGCACAGCACUGAAGAUAAGUCCAAACAGAGCCUUGUGUCUGAUCAUCUAUUCAAGCCACUGCCAGAACCUUUCAGCCUUAUUUGACAGCUUAGAUUUUGAUUCGCUUGUAAAUUUGUAAUUGUUGAUCUUCUCCUGUCCGUGUUAUUUAUGUUUUAGAUAUUGUUCACUCUGGCUUUAAGAUGUUCUCCUGUAGAGUUGAUGCUAAGUGUAUUCUUAUAAUUCUAUGAAAUAAUAGAGAAGUUCUUUAGAGCACAUUCGAUAUA